rnacentral:rRNA from 1 species
UACGUAGGGUGCAAGCGUUAAUCGGAAUUACUGGGCGUAAAGCGUGCGCAGGCGGUUCGCUGUGUCCUGUGUGAAAGCCCCGGGCUUAACCUGGGAAUGGCAUGGGAAACUGGCGGGCUGGAGUGUGGCAGAGGGGGGUGGAAUUCCGCGUGUAGCAGUGAAAUGCGUAGAGAUGCGGAGGAACACCGAUGGCGAAGGCAGCCCCCUGGGCUAACACUGACGCUCAGGCACGAAAGCGUGGGGAGCAAACAGG